GAUUGUAAGUGCCCAUAGCUCCAUGAUCAAGGAUAGGAUUUUUUUUUUUUUAAUAACAAAAAGGAGAGAGAAGAGAGGAGAUCGAUGUAGAGAACCUCUCUAGACGAAUCCGAAAAACCCUCUUUUCGCUGAAAAAUAUUUGAUUCAGACAUAAGAGUAAGUCACUCUUCAUCGUAUUGAAUGAGUACGUCACUCCAACACCAUCGAAAUGUCAGAAGAUCAGUGCCGCUUCCAACAUCUGCACCCAAGCCAUCAGAAGGAAUCCUCCCUCCAGCAUUUACUCACGAUUUGAAUUUGGAUCACUUGCGUGGAGGCGGAGGUCCAUUUCUACUGGGCUACCGCCACGGCGGGCAAGGAUGGAAUUUACUAGAAAAUGGAAUCCAAUAACAUGGAUCCAUGAAUGUGAUGCAACCCGCGAGCAAACAAAGUCAGUCAUUAAUUAACAGGA
rnacentral:lncRNA from 1 species